AUGAACGCUGGCGGCGUGCCUAACACAUGCAAGUCGAACGGAGUGUAGACGCUGUGCGAAGAAGUGCUUGCACGGAUUCAACUGUUACACUUAGUGGCGGACGGGUGAGUAACGCGUGGAAAACCUGCCUCAUACAGGGGGAUAACAGGAAGAAAUUCCUGCUAAUACCGCAUGAGCGCACACUGUCGCAUGGCAGAGUGUGAAAAGAUUUAUCGGUAUGAGAUGGUUCCGCGUCUGAUUAGCCAGUUGGCGGGGUAACGGCCCACCAAAGCGACGAUCAGUAGCCGGCCUGAGAGGGCGGACGGCCACAUUGGGACUGAGACACGGCCCAGACUCCUACGGGAGGCAGCAGUGGGGGAUAUUGCACAAUGGAGGCAACUCUGAUGCAGCGACGCCGCGUGGGUGAAGAAGUUAUUCGUAAUGUAAAGCCCUAUCAGCAGGGAAGAUAAUGACGGUACCUGACUAAGAAGCCCCGGCUAACUACGUGCCAGCCGCGGC
rnacentral:rRNA from 1 species